CCCUCCAGUGAAACACAGCCUGCUGAAGAAUUGGCUAAACUAAGUCUUGAGGGGGAAACAUCGAAAAGGUUUUGGGAGUCAGCUGAUGGAACUGCUGGAGAAGCGACAGCUGGGCUCUGGACCACACCUCUCCCCUGGCCUGCAGGUCUAGAGACAUCCAUCCCUCCAG